ACUCCUGAGCCCUCGGGAUUACUCUUUGACGGGGGGCGCAGCUGAUCAGCCUGCCGCGUGUGUGAAGAAGGCCUUCAUGGUUGUAAAGAAGCACUUUAAGCGGCGUAUAGGAGGAGGCUACUUUAGUUAAUACCUAGAGAUAUUGAACUUUCCUCCCAAAAAAACCCCCGGUUAAUUCUGGGCCACCACCCCCGGAAUUCCGAAGCAUACAGGGGCAGCCUUUAUCCGAAUUUCCGGGCCUUAAACCCCCCCCUAGCCGGCUGAUUAAUCCGAAGGUAAAUCCCCCGACUUUACCUGGGAACUGGCUUUCAAUCCUGGUUACUUAAAUCGUGGAAAGGAUGGAAAAUUUCCAGGUGUACCGUGAAAUUGCUUAAAGUUCUGAAGAAUUCCCGAUGCCAAAGGCGCCCCUCGGACCUAACUCUAACUCUGAGGCGCGACGCUGUGGGAGAGCAAACAGAUAUUAUAUACCCGGGAUACCCCAUGCCGUACACAAUCUCUACUAGCCGUUGGGGCCUUUGAGGCUUUAGUGGCGCACCUAACGCGAUAAGUACACCGCCUGGGGAGUACGGUCGCAAGACUAAAACUCAAAUGAAUUGACGGGGGCCCGCACAAGCGGUGGAGCAUGUGGUUUAAUUCGAUGCAACGCGAAGAACCUUACCUGGCCUUGACAUAGUAAGAACUUUCCAGAGAUGGAUUGGUGCCUUCGGAAACUUACAUACAGGUGCUGCAUGGCUGUCCUCAGCUCGUGUCGAGAGAUGUUGGGUUAAGUCCCGCAACGAGCGCAACCCUUUUCCUUAUUUGCCAGCGAGUAAUGUCGGGAACUUUAAGGAUACUGCCAGUGACAAACUGGAGGAAGGCGGGGACGACGUCAAGUCAUCAUGGCCCUUACGGCCGGGGCUACACACGUGCUACAAUGGUCGGUACAAAGGGUUGCUACCUAGCGAUAGGAUGAAUCUCAAAAAGCCGAUCGUACUCCGGGAUUGGAGUCUGCAACUCGACUCCAUGAAGUCGGAAUCGCUAGUAAUCGCGGAUCAAAAUGCCCGGGUGAAUACUUUUCCCGGGUAGGCUUUGUCCUUGUACACCCCGCCCUCACCCCUGGGCCCUGGAGUUUGUUGCCCAAAAAGCUUACUAGCCCACUGCUCCCAAGGAGGCGGUACCCGGGUGCCGAUACUAGGAAACGCCCCCCGCUAAGGGCC
rnacentral:rRNA from 1 species